rnacentral:rRNA from 1 species
UUAAGGUAUCCCCGCUUGGGGAGUACGCUCCGCAAGAGUGAACCUCUAAGGAAUUGACGGGGGCCCGCACAAGCGGUGGAGUAUGUGGUUUAUUUCGAUGCAACGCCGAAGAACCUUACCAGGGCUUGACAUGUCCCGGAAUCCCAGGGAAACUUGGGAGUGCCUUCGGGAGCCGGAACACAGGUGGUGCAUGGCUGUCGUCAGCUCGUGCCGUGAGAUGUUGGGUUAAGUCCCGCAACGAGCGCAACCCUCGUUUUUAGUUGCCAUCAUUAAGUUGGGCACUCUAGAGAGACUGCCAGUGACAAACUGGAGGAAGGUGGGGAUGACGUCAAGUCAGCAUGCCCCUUACGUCCUGGGCUACACACGUACUACAAUGCGACGGACAAAGGGCAGCGAGCGAGCGAUCGUCAGCUACAUCCCAUAAACCGUGGCUCAGUUCAGAUCGCAGGCUGCAACUCGCCUGCGUGAAGGAGGAAUCGCAUAGUAAUUGCAGGUCAGCAUACUGCAGGGAA